UGUCAAAUGGCACAUCCUGCUCUCUGCUGUGCGGAUAUUUGAAAGAUCCAUUGGUAUUACUAUAUUUUCAUCAUGGACUACAUGCAAAGUGUAGCUACAGCUUUCAAUACCAGUGGUGUCCUGAAUAUAGCUGCUAAUAUUGACACAGCUCUGUCUUCUGUGGCUAAAGCAGUCUGGACUGGUUGAAGCUGAGUGGGAAGGAUUAUUCUAAAAGUGUUUCAGUCUGCCGUGAAUCAUCCUAAUCCAUACAUCGAGGAAUAAAUGAGAACUUUGAAAUAACAGAGGAACUUCUUGCGAUGGAAUCAAUGAUGGGAACAACCAGGGGCUCUGAUUUAUAUGACAGGGUGUCUGCCUGCUUGGAAAAAAUGAAUCUACCGUGGAGAAAACUGAAAAACGUCACAGCAGAUGGAUCACCAAAUCUAACCGCAUAAACCUGCUCUCCGCCACAAGUACAAGGAGAUGAUCGAGGGUGAACAAGCAGUACGUCAGAUAUUUUGUCUUUGUAUGUUUACUUAUUGCUUGGA